CUCACUCUCUCUCCCAAAUAACCACCACAUUUCCCAUUUCUUCCCAAACUACCCUCUCUCUCUCUCUCUCUCUCUCUCUCUCUCUCUCUCACUCCACCAUGGUUCUGAGCAAAGUCACCACCGCGAAGCGAAGCUUGAAGCGGAAGCUCGAGCCGGAAUUCGAAGACCGAAGCGAAGACGAUCGCAAGGUUUUCGCUUCCGAGCCACGCGAUGCCUCUGAUCGUGAUCUCGUCCCUGAUAUUCUCGCUCAGAUCAGUGUUCUCAACUCCGCUCUCUCUUCCUCCGAAGCCGACCGCGCUGCUGCCAAGAGCGCCGCCGCUUCCAUCGCCGAAGUCGCCAAAAACGAGGAUAUUGUGGAUAUAAUAGUGGAGUCUGGUGCGGUUCCGGCUUUAGUGAAGCAUCUCCAGGUGCCAGCAGAUGUAAGAGAGGGUGACAGUGAUCUGAGGCUGUAUGAGCAUGAGGUGGAGAAAGGGAGCGCUUUUGCACUUGGACUUCUUGCUGUCAAACCAGAGCAUCAACAGCUCAUUGUUGAUGCUGGAGCUGUACCCCAUCUUGUGGAUUUGUUAAAGAGAAACAAGAAUGGUUGUAACCCCCGAGCAGUCAAUGGUGUUAUUAGGAGAGCUGCUGAUGCAAUAACUAACCUUGCUCAUGAGAAUAGUGUUAUUAAAACCUUUGUCAGGUUUGAAGGUGGCAUUCCUCCUCUUGUUGAACUGCUCGACUCCACUGAUGCAAAGGUACAAAGAGCAGCUGCAGGGGCCCUACGUACCCUUGCUUUUAAAAAUGAUGAAAACAAAACUCAGAUUGUAGAAUGUAAUGCUCUACCAACCCUUAUACUAAUGCUCUGGUCUGAAGAUGCCACUAUACAUUAUGAAGCGGUUGGUGUAAUAGGUAAUCUGGUCCACUCAUCCCCAAAAAUUAAAAAAGAAGUUCUCCUUGCUGGAGCUUUACAACCUGUUAUCAGAUUGCUUAGUUCCUCUUGUCCGGAGAGCCAAAGAGAAGCGGCUCUGUUACUUGGUCAAUUUGCUGGGGCCGAUUCUGAUACUAAGGUGCACAUUGUUCAGAGGGGUGCUGUCCAGCCUUUAAUUGAGAUGCUUAAGUCCCCAGAUGCACAGCUUAGAGAGAUGUCAGCUUUUGCACUAGGGAGGUUGGCACAGGACAAGCACAACCAAGCUGGCAUUGCUCAUAGUGGAGGUAUAGUGCCUCUACUCAAACUUAUUGACUCAAGAAAUGGAGCUUUGCAGCAUAAUUCUGCAUUUGCUAUAUAUGGUCUUGCAGAUAAUGAGGAUAAUGUUGUAGAUCUUAUCAAGGUUGGCGGUGUUCAGAAACUUCAAGAAGGAGAAUUUACUGUUCAACCAACUAAAGAUUGUGUGGCAAAGACAUUCAAAAGAUUAGAGGAGAAGAUUCAUGGACGUGUACUAAACCAUUUGCUAUAUCUGAUGCGGGUUUCAGAAAAGGCAGUUCAAAUACAGGUUGCCUUGGCUCUUGCUCAUCUUUGUGCACCCGAUGAUCGAAAAGCUAUUUUUAUUGAUAGCAAUGGUUUAGAGUUGCUGCUUGAGCUUUUACAGUCUACAAGCCUGAAGCAGAAACAAGAUGGUUCAGGGGCCCUGUACAAGUUGGCUACCAAGGCAACUUCACUCUCUCCUGUAGAUGCUGCUCCUCCAUCACCGAAUCCACAGGUGUAUUUGGGUGAGCAAUAUGUGAACAAUCCUACGCUUUCUGAUGUCACCUUCUUAGUUGAAGGUAAACGGUUCUAUGCUCACAGAAUUUGUCUGCUUGCUUCUUCGGAUGCUUUCCGUGCAAUGUUUGAUGGUGGUUACAGAGAGAGGGAUGCUAAGGACAUACAGAUUCCAAAUAUUAGAUGGGACGUGUUUGAGUUGAUGAUGAGAUUCAUAUACACAGGAUCAGUAGAAGUCAGUCUGGAUAUUGCACAGGAUCUCCUCAGAGCUGCUGAUCAGUACCUUUUGGAUGGUCUUAAGCAUCUCUGCGAGUAUGCUAUUGCUCAGGAUAUUUGUGUGGAAAAUGUUUCCCUAAUGUACGAGUUAUCAGAAGCCUUUAAUGCUAUGUCAUUAAGGAAAGCAUGCAUACUGUUUAUUUUGGAGCAGUUUGACAAAUUGAGUGCCAAACCAUGGUACUCUCAACUGAUCAAGUGCAUUGUACCAGAGAUACGCAAAUUCUUCACUAAUAUACUUACAAAGCCUAUUCAAGCUGAUUUGCAGCAAUUAUAGAUGGUUCAGCUCAAGUUUUAAUCUUUUGACUAACAAUCAAGGUGGAAGACAAAUGAUGUACAGAAAGAUCUUUGCCCAAACGGUCAGUUUCAUGUUAAUGAGCACCGUUAUUUCUCAAACCCAGCAACGCACUGCCAUCAAAAGCCAGUCCAUUGCCAUCUCAACCCAAACACAAAAAGCCCGGAUCAGCCCAUGGAAAAGCUUCGUGGAUUUUUGUUUUUCACCAAAAGGCAUAUUGCUACGGUCACACACACAUGGCAGAGAGGGAAGAGGAUUUUUGAAAGAGUUACAAUACGGUAUAUAGUUAAAAGAGUUACAGCCUUAAACUCAUACACAGGACAUUGUUAUUUAUUGUGGAGUCUUUUUUAUUUAUUAUGAGUGAUG